rnacentral:lncRNA from 1 species
UAUUGCUGAAGGAAAUUAAGUACAUGUAUGACAGUAAAAAUUAUUUCCUUGUCUGUUUUAACAUAAGUAAUGUUUUCUCAUCCUCAGCCAUCAAAAGUACAGAGCUAUUUUGAAGAAGGAGAAGAGGAAAAAAAAGCGGCAGGCACUUGCCAAACUAAGGGACUCAGAAGCUGCAGAAAAAGAUGAAUCUGUGUCUGAGGAGGAAGAGGAGGAAGUGGAAGAAGAGGAGGAAGAAGAGGAAGAAAAAAAACUUGAGGCAGAAAGACAAAAACUACAUGAGCAGUGGUUGCUGAGAGAAGAAAAGGCCCAAGAAGAGUUCAAACUAAAGAAAGAAAAAGAAGAGGCUGCAAGAAAGCGUCAAGAGGAAGAAGAGGUAUAAAGAUGUAAAACCCUACAGUUGUGCUAGGCAACAAGGUAGCUUAGUGUAGUAACUUUGAUUA